CAUCCAUAUUUCAGCAUUCCAAGAAAGGCAGCAGGUGCCAAUUAGGCACCCGCCUUCAUGCCUCUGUUGUUUUUUUCUUUUAAGUUUUAUCUGUUCAAGGUGGUGAGGUAUUGUAUGCACCGACAUUCACCCCCCCCUUGCUUCCCCCUCCCAUGUAAUGAAGAGCUGAUUCAGCGAAUAGAAUGAGAGAGCACUCAGGAUGAGAUGGCUGCUGCUGAUGUGUCUCUAGGUCAUUACCUCUCUUCCAACUGCAAAUGCUGCAUGAUACUAAGCUUACAGGACACUAGAAGCAAACCAUACACCAGCAUGGAAAUCUGCUAGAAGACCUGGGAGGAAGCUCAAGUUUUCACAGUGGAAUACAACUAUGAAUCCCAAGAAAACAUGUUGCAGAGCUACCAGCAAUUCAACUCUCCACUCAGACUUGGUCACUCAGAAUGAACAGCAAGAGGCUGCAAAAAUCUGGAAAAGCACUUCUCAUGUCCAUGCCAUCCCUGAACAAUGAACUCAAACUGGCUUUAAGCCACUGUGCAGGAAGAUGGAUGCAGACUUCAUCAAUACUUGCAUGAAUAGCAAGUGUGAAAAAUAUCUGAUGUUGUAAACAAAUGAAACUACUACUAUUUCUGUAAUGGAGACAACAUUCUCUCUUUUUACAUGCUUCAGAAGUGCUCUGAUAUAACUGCAUCCAAAAAAGUAUAUAUCUAAACUUUAGAUAUCUAACUGCUUUAGAGAAAAGUGAAACCCCAUAUAUGGAGGGAACCUACACAGGGUUCCAAUUACCAAUAUUGGAAAUAUUUUCCUUUGCUUCCAAUAAAAACUUUUGUAAAGGAGAGAGGAUUCUGGGAAAAACUCCACUAUGCUUCACAUUCUACCAACCAGUUGACUGGUUUACAAAAUUGUACAGUCAAACUGAUCCAGUCUGAAUUACAAUUUGGAUCUCUCCAAAAAAAAAGAAGUCUGCCGCUCCUAAAACACCAGCCCACAGAAAUGCAUAGGAAAAUGGUACUCAUGGGUAAUGCUGAUAUACAAAUACGGAGAGUUCAUAUCAAGUUAUAAAGUCACACGUGAAAGAAUCGUAUUCUGAAUGCCAAAAAUAAGUUCCCUUCACUAGGUCCUUGACAUGUUCUCCUACAGACCUUUUAUGAACACUGUAGAAAAUGGUAAACACAUUUAUUGCUUCUAUCAACACUUUCAACUACUACUUUGACUUUGUGAAGUAUGAUUCCAUUCCAUAUCCAUAUAUACUUAAGUUUACUGUUUAACUAUCAGUCUUGACAGCUAUGUUCUAACAGACUAGCCCAGAUUUUAU